AUAUGGAAUGGUGAGGUGUCACCCAACCUCUUUGAAGAAAUUGACAAGGAUGGCAACGGAGAAGUCCUCCUGGAAGAGGUAACUAACUGGCCUCUGUAGGAAGGUGGGACCGAAGAGCUCAGGGAGCCUGGUGAGGCCGUGGGGCCGGUUCUGAAGUUCUCAGAGUACAUUCACGCCCAGGUGGCAUCUGGCAAAGGGAAACUCGCUCCUGGCUUUGAUGCUGAGCUGAUUGUGAAGAAUAUGUUCACCAACCAGGACCGGAAUGGAGAUGGGAAGGUCACAGCCGAGGAAUUUAAACUCAAAGACCAGGAAGCCAAACACGAUGAACUCUAAACCUGGCAUGAAGCAGAUGGUGCCAGGGAGUACGUGACACCAAGCCACCUGUGUGGCAGAACGUGCAGUGAGGGUGCAAGGGUCUUUCAGAAGUUGCAUCAUUAGCCAGUAGUAGGUGGGUCACAUAGUACCUGGUGUACACAUCGGGGUGGGUUGAUAGACGGGGUGAGAAGUUUAGGCUGAUCGCCAGUGAUAGUAAACAAAAUCUGUGCAGAGGACCUUAGCAUGGGAUGUGUCCAGUAUUGAAAAGGCUGCACU
rnacentral:sRNA from 1 species